UAGUGACUCGGUGACUUCAAAUAGUAAAUAAUUAAGCGUGUUAAAUCGGGCAAUAAGCUUGGCUUUGGCUUAAAAGGAAUCGCAAGCAGAUGCGCUUUCUGUAUCUGUUGAUUUCCAGUUCGGUGCACCGCCCGUUGAAAUCGCCCAUCAAAACGGCUCAUAAAUAACUAGAUUGGAGUAUUAAUAUUGUCACUAGCCAAUAUAAACACAAAGGGCUCUCGAUAUUGCACAAUGGUAUUAACAGGACAUAAAUCUGCGUAAGUAGAUAUUCGAAGUCAAUUCGCACUCGUCUUUUGUGCGUCUACCUAUGCUUGCAAACACGGCAAAAUUUGAGAGCACAAACACAAAACAAGGCCACAUGCUUUUGUGCCUUUAUACCAAUAUAUCAUUCCGGGUCGGUCCCCACACCACUGAACUAGAUCGUCCGACCAGAAGCCGGAACUCACUCACUUCUCAUGGUGGUACGAGCUUUGGGGAUGUCUCCACAUUUAUUUUGUACAGGACAAUGAGCAACACAUGAUAAAUUUCAUUAAAGGUGAUCAACGACGCACAAAAAGUCGCACAAACAUCGAAGGGACUUGACGUUUAUGGACGCAUGCAAAAAAUUGUACUGGAAUUUUCUUAUGAAAUUGUCACAAGGGACUGAGAAAUGUACCUAAUAAAGGGCUCAACUUAGUAUUAAAAAUAAUAAAGUAUCAAAUUUU